UUUUACUUGCUAUCCAACAUCUAAAAACCAUACCUGACGCUCAUUUUUGCACAGGCUCUCACUAUUCCGCUUAAGGAUAGUGGUUUUCUUAUCUUGUUGCACUCCUCCCAUUUCCUCACAUAUGAUGAUACUGGGUCCAGUGCAGCUGAGGUCCUGCAAUGCAUGUUUGUGUUUCCAAGCUCACGAGUUAUGCUGAGAGACACAAAAUUUGGACAGAGAAAAUCUGCCAUGUCAUCUGAAAUCCUGCGGGUUCUACCGGUACUAAGUUAUGCAGAGGGCGAAGUUGAGAAAACACCCAUUGACCCAAGUGAAGAACUAUGUGAAGUUUUGGCGCAGCAUAUGCAGAGUUACGCAGCACUGAUAAAUCCUGGGUUGGCAUUAAGUCCCUCUAGGGAAGUCAGCAUCUUUCCAGAUCAGUAUGAUGUGCCGGAUGCCCACAAGCACCUC